rnacentral:rRNA from 1 species
UAGCAUAUCAAUAAGCGGAAGGAAAAGAAACCCAACAGGGAUUGCCCCAGUAACGGCGAGUGAAGCGGCAACAGCUCAAAUUUGAAAUCUGGUCCCCCCCGCGGGCCCCGAGUUGUAAUUUGAAGAGGAUGCUUCUGGCAAGGUGCCGUCCGAGUUCCCUGGAACGGGACGCCGCAGAGGGUGAGAGCCCCGUACGGUCGGACGCCGAGCCUCUGUGAAGCUCCUUCGACGAGUCGAGUAGUUUGGGAAUGCUGCUCAAAAUGGGAGGUAAACCCCUUCUAAAGCUAAAUACCGGCCAGAGACCGAUAGCGCACAAGUAGAGUGAUCGAAAGAUGAAAAGCACUUUGAAAAGAGAGUUAAAAAGCACGUGAAAUUGUUGAAAGGGAAGCGCUUGCGACCAGACUCGCGCCCGUCGGAUCAGCCGUCGCUCGUCGGCGGCGCACUCCGGCGGGCUCGGGCCAGCAUCAGUUCGCCUCGGGGGGAGAAAGGCGGCGGGAAUGUGGCUCUACGGAGUGUUAUAGCCCGCCGCGUAAUACCCCCGGGCGGACUGAGGACCGCGCGUAUGCAAGGAUGCUGGCGUAAUGGUCGUCAGCGACCCGUCUUGAAACACGGACCAAGGAGUCGUCCUAAUAUGCGAGUGUACGGGUGUCAAACCCCUGCGCGUAAUGAAAGUGAACGGAGGUGAGAGCUUCGGCGCAUCAUCGACCGAUCCUGAUGUUCUCGGAUGGAUUUGAGUAAGAGCAUAUUGGGCCGGACCCGAAAGAAGGUGAACUAUGCCUGUGUAGGGUAAAGCCAGAGGAAACUCUGGUGGAGGCUCGCAGCGGUUCUGACGUGCAAAUCGAUCGUCAAACAUGGGCAUGGGGGCGAAAGACUAAUCGAAACCUUUCUAGUAGCUGGGUUUCCGCGA